rnacentral:rRNA from 1 species
CCCAGACUCCUACGGGAGGCAGCAGUGGGGGAUAUUGCACAAUGGGGGAAACCCUGAUGCAGCGACGCCGCGUGAGUGAAGAAGUAUUUCGGUAUGUAAAGCUCUAUCAGCAGGGAAGAAAAAAGACGGUACCUGACUAAGAAGCCCCGGCUAACUACGUGCCAGCAGCCGCGGUAAUACGUAGGGGGCAAGCGUUAUCCGGAUUUACUGGGUGUAAAGGGAGCGUAGACGGCAAUACAAGUCGGAAGUGAAAUACCCGGGCUUAACCUGGGAACUGCUUUGGAAACUGUAUGGCUGGGGUGCUGGAGAGGUAAGCGGAAUUCCUAGUGUAGCGGUGAAAUGCGUAGAUAUUAGGAGGAACACCAGUGGCGAAGGCGGCUUACUGGACAGUAACUGACGUUGAGGCUCGAAAGCGUGGGGAGCAAACAGGAUUAGAUACCCCCGUAUG